rnacentral:rRNA from 1 species
CGCCCUUAGAGUUUGAUCCUGGCUCAGGAUGAACGCUGGCGGCGUGCCUAACACAUGCAAGUCGAACGAAGCACCUUACCUGAUUCUUCGGAUGAAAGUUUGGUGACUGAGUGGCGGACGGGUGAGUAACGCGUGGGUAACCUGCCCUGUACAGGGGGAUAACAGCUGGAAACGGCUGCUAAUACCGCAUAAGCGCACGAGGAGACAUCUCCUUGUGUGAAAAACUCCGGUGGUACAGGAUGGGCCCGCGUCUGAUUAGCUGGUUGGCAGGGUAACGGCCUACCAAGGCAACGAUCAGUAGCCGGUCUGAGAGGAUGAACGGCCACAUUGGAACUGAGACACGGUCCAAACUCCUACGGGAGGCAGCAGUGGGGAAUAUUGCACAAUGGGGGAAACCCUGAUGCAGCAACGCCGCGUGAGUGAAGAAGUAUUUCGGUAUGUAAAGCUCUAUCAGCAGGGAAGAUAAUGACGGUACCUGACUAAGAAGCUCCGGCUAAAUACGUGCCAGCAGCCGCGGUAAUACGUAUGGAGCAAGCGUUAUCCGGAUUUACUGGGUGUAAAGGGUGCGUAGGUGGCAGUGCAAGUCAGAUGUGAAAGGCCGGGGCUCAACCCCGGAGCUGCAUUUGAAACUGCUCGGCUAGAGUACAGGAGAGGCAGGCGGAAUUCCUAGUGUAGCGGUGAAAUGCGUAGAUAUUAGGAGGAACACCAGUGGCGAAGGCGGCCUGCUGGACUGUUACUGACACUGAGGCACGAAAGCGUGGGGAGCAAACAGGAUUAGAUACCCUGGUAGUCCACGCCGUAAACGGUGAAUACUAGGUGUCGGGGCCGUAUAGGCUUCGGUGCCGCCGCUAACGCAGUAAGUAUUCCACCUGGGGAGUACGUUCGCAAGAAUGAAACUC